GUCCCACUCCUUCCCAUCCCGAACAGGACAGUGAAACGCCUUCGCGCCGAUGAUAGUGGAUGUACAUCUGUGAAAGUAGGUCAUCGUCAGGC
rnacentral:rRNA from 1 species